GCCGGGUGCGGUGGCAUGUGCCUGUAAUCCAAGUCACUGGGAGGCUGAGGUUGGUGGAUCAAGUGAGCUGAGGAGCUCUGGGCUGCAGCACACUAUGUUGAACGGGUGUCCACGCUAAGUUCGGUAUCGAUAUGGUGUUCCAGGGGAGCCCGGGACCACCAGGUUGUCUAAGGAGGGGUGAACCGGCCCAGGUCGGAAACGAAGCAGGUCAAAUCCCCCGUGCUGUCCAGUAGUUGGAUAAUACCUGUGAGUAGAUGCUGCAGUGCAGCCUUGGCGAAAACAUCGAGACCUAAUCUUUC
rnacentral:SRP_RNA from 1 species